rnacentral:lncRNA from 1 species
AGAAAGUGGGCCUUCACCAGACACCAGCUCUGCUGGCACCCUGAUCUGGGACUUUCCGUCUCCAGAACUGUAAGAAACACAUUUCUGUUGUUUAUACCCAGCUUGUGGUAUUUUGUUACAGCAGCCUGAACAGACUAAGACAAACAGCUGGGCACUCUGACUACCUGCUGUGACAUUUACUUACACUCUUUGCUUCCUCCAUCUCCAACUGUUUAGUAUUUACAUACUUAUUUGUUGUUCCCUUGAUCUCAUAAAUUCAGUAAACAUAAACUCUAAUUUCUUAUGCUACUGCAUGGGCAAUGUCUGCGGACAUCUCAUUUUCUAAGAUGUGGGUAUGCAUAGUGUUACUUUUCUCUCCAUCUUUUCUACCCUCUUCUAUUCUCUACCUUUCAACAGCCUCACUUAUAUAUUUUUUAAUUGUCAUUUUUUUUAAGAAUGUGGUAAAUAUUUCAAUGCUUCCCUCCUGUUUAAUUUUCCUCUCCUUUUGGAUGAAUGGAGGAUUGCAUUUCCCUACCUUUUUAAACUGAGGAUAGCCAUGUGUCUAAUUCUGGCCAAUGGACAUGGAGGAAGGGAUCUGUGUGACUUCUGGGCUGUAGCAUUUAAUGGCAGGUGUGAGCCCCAUACACUCAUACAGUACCUGCAAGCAUCGCAUAUGGUGGCACCUCUGUCAGCCUGGGUCCCAGAACAGCAGAGCCCCCACCAAUGUUC